rnacentral:sRNA from 1 species
CUGGGUGACAGAGUGAGACUCCAUCUCAAAAUAAAAAGGCACAGAAGUGUGUCAACUUGGGAGAAGAAAGAGCCCUCUGACUCCCACUGGCCUCCCUGGGGUGGGGCCCCUGACCCCACUGACCUCCCUGAUGCAUGCCCUCUGACUCCUGCUGGACCUCAGGGAACGCAGCUGUUGUUCUCCGGAGUCGGCUGAAGGUCAGGGUGGUGAAGGAGCUCCGGGGGAAGAAGACAGCCGUGCACAACGGGCUGGGUGAGAAUGGCUCGCAGGCUGCAGGCCUGGACAUGGAUGUCGGGAAGCAGACCAUGCAAUACCAGGUCCUGAAUGAGGUGGUGAUUGACAGAGGCCCCUCCUCCUACCUGUCCAACGUGGAUGUCUACCUGGACGGACACCUCAUCACCACGGUGCAGGGCGACGGUAAGGCCCGCAGCGCUGUCCUGGGGCCCUGAGCGUCCCUCGGGCGGGAGUGACGCCUGCGCCUGUCCCUGUCAGGAGUGAUCGUGUCCACCCCGACGGGCAGCACGGCGUAUGCGGCC